CUACGGGAGGCAGCAGUGAGGAAUAUUGCACAAUGGGGGGAACCCUGAUGCAGCAACGCCGCGUGGAGGAUGACGCAUUUCGGUGUGUAAACUCCUUUUAUAUGUCAAGAAAAUGACGGUAGCAUAUGAAUAAGCACCGGCUAACUCCGUGCCAGCAGCCGCGGUAAUACGGAGGGUGCAAGCGUUACUCGGAAUCACUGGGCGUAAAGGACGCGUAGGCGGGCUUGUAAGUCAGGUGUGAAAUUCUACAGCUUAACUGUAGAACUGCACUUGAAACUACGAGCCUAGAGUAUGGGAGGGGCAGAUGGAAUUAGUGGUGUAGGGGUAAUAUCCGUAGAUAUCACUAGGAAUACCUAAAGCGAAGGCGAUCUGCUGGAACAUAACUGACGCUAAGGCGUGAAAGCGUGGGGAGCAAACAGGAUUAGAUACCCGCGUAGUC
rnacentral:rRNA from 1 species